rnacentral:rRNA from 1 species
GAUGAACGCUGGCGGCGUGCCUAAUACAUGCAAGUCGAGCGAACGGACGAGAAGCUUGCUUCUCUGAUGUUAGCGGCGGACGGGUGAGUAACACGUGGAUAACCUACCUAUAAGACUGGGAUAACUUCGGGAAACCGUAGCUAAUACCGUAUAAUAUUUUGAACCGCAUGGUUCAAAAGUGAAAGACGGUCUUGCUGUCACUUAUAGAUGGAUCCGCGCUGCAUUAGCUAGUUGGUAAGGUAACGGCUUACCAAGGCAACGAUGCAUAGCCGACCUGAGAGGGUGAUCGGCCACACUGGAACUGAGACACGGUCAAGACUACUACGGGAGGCCGCAGUAGGGAAUCUUCCGCAAUGGGCGAAAGCCUGACGGAGCAACGCCGCGUGAGUGAUGAAGGUCUUCGGAUCGUAAAACUCUGUUAUUAGGGAAGAACAUCUGUGUAAGUAACUGUGCACAUCUUGACGGUACCUAAUCAGAAAGCCACGGCUAACUACGUG